rnacentral:rRNA from 1 species
AUACGGAGGGGGUUAGCGUUGUUCGGAAUUACUGGGCGUAAAGCGUACGUAGGCGGAUCAGAAAGUAUGGGGUGAAAUCCCAGGGCUCAACCCUGGAACUGCCUCAUAAACUCCUGGUCUUGAGUUCGAGAGAGGUGAGUGGAAUUCCGAGUGUAGAGGUGAAAUUCGUAGAUAUUCGGAGGAACACCAGUGGCGAAGGCGGCUCACUGGCUCGAUACUGACGCUGAGGUACGAAAGUGUGGGGAGCAAACAGGAUUAGAUACCCCGGUAGUCC